rnacentral:rRNA from 1 species
CAGCCGCCACGGUAAUACGUAGGUGGCAAGCGUUGUCCGGAAUUAUUGGGCGUAAAGGGCUCGCAGGCGGUUUCUUAAGUCUGAUGUGAAAGCCCCCGGCUCAACCGGGGAGGGUCAUUGGAAACUGGGAAACUUGAGUGCAGAAGAGGAGAGUGGAAUUCCACGUGUAGCGGUGAAAUGCGUAGAGAUGUGGAGGAACACCAAUGGCGAAGGCGACUCUCUGGUCUGUAACUGACGCUGAGGAGCGAAAGCGUGGGGAGCGAACAGGAUUAGAUACCCCAGUAGUCCCUGUCUCUUAUAA